rnacentral:rRNA from 1 species
AUUAAACUUUUGAUCCUGGCUCAGAUUGAACGCUGGCGGCAGGCCCUAACACAAGCAAGGUCGAAACGGGGUAGCCACAGAGAGCUUUGGCCUCCUCGGGGCUCCCUUUGACGAGCGUGCGGACGGGGUGAGUAAUGUCUGGGAAAACCUGCCCCUGAUUGGGGAGGGGGGGAUAACUACUGGAAAACGGUAGCCUAAUACCGCAUAACGUCGCAAGACCAAAGAGGGGGACCUUCGGGCCUCUUGCCAUCAGAUGUGCCCAGAUGGGAUUAGCUAGUAGGUGGGGUAACGGCUCACCUAGGCGACGAUCCCUAGCUGGUCUGAGAGGAUGACCAGCCACACUGGAACUGAGACACGGUCCAGACUCCUACGGGAGGCAGCAGUGGGGAAUAUUGCACAAUGGGCGCAAGCCUGAUGCAGCCAUGCCGCGUGUAUGAAGAAGGCCUUCGGGUUGUAAAGUACUUUCAGCGGGGAGGAAGGUGAUGAGGUUAAUAACCUCAGUCAAUUGACGUUACCCGCAGAAGAAGCACCGGCUAACUCCGUGCCAGCAGCCGCGGUAAUACGGAGGGUGCAAGCGUUAAUCGGAAUUACUGGGCGUAAAGCGCACGCAGGCGGUCUGUCAAGUCGGAUGUGAAAUCCCCGGGCUCAACCUGGGAACUGCAUUCGAAACUGGCAGGCUAGAGUCUUGUAGAGGGGGGUAGAAUUCCAGGGGUAGCGGUGAAAUGCGUAGAGAUUCUGGAGGAAUACCGGUGGCGAAGGCGCCCCCCUGGACAAAGACUGACCGCUCAGGUGCGAAAGCGUGGGGAGCAAACAGGAUUAGAUACCCUGGUAGUCCACGCCGUAAACGAUGUCGACUUGGAGGUUGUGCCCUUGAGGAGUGGCUUCCGGAGCUAACGCGUUUAAGUCGACCGCCUGGGGAGUACGGCCGCAAGGUUAAAACUCAAAUGAAUUGACGGGGGCCCGCACAAGCGGUGGAGCAUGUGGUUUAAUUCGAUGCAACGCGAAGAACCUUACCUACUCUUGACAUCCAGAGAACUUAGCAGAGAUGCUUUGGUGCCUUCGGGAACUCUGAGACAGGUGCUGCAUGGCUGUCGUCAGCUCGUGUUGUGAAAUGUUGGGUUAAGUCCCGCAACGAGCGCAACCCUUAUCCUUUGUUGCCAGCGGUCCGGCCGGGAACUCAAAGGAGACUGCCAGUGAUAAACUGGAGGAAGGUGGGGAUGACGUCAAGUCAUCAUGGCCCUUACGAGUAGGGCUACACACGUGCUACAAUGGCGCAUACAAAGAGAAGCGACCUCGCGAGAGCAAGCGGACCUCAUAAAGUGCGUCGUAGUCCGGAUUGGAGUCUGCAACUCGACUCCAUGAAGUCGGAAUCGCUAGUAAUCGUAGAUCAGAAUGCUACGGUGAAUACGUUCCCGGGCCUUGUACACACCGCCCGUCACACCAUGGGAAGUGGGUUGCAAAAGAAGUAGGUAGCUUAACCCUUCGGGGAGGGCGCUUACCACUUAUCCGCCUGAUUCAUGACUGGGGUGAAAGUCGUAACAAGGUAACCGUAGGGGAACCUGCGGCUGGAUCACCUCCUUAAU